rnacentral:snoRNA from 1 species
AAGGCUAUACUUUACAGGAUUAUUUCUGUAGUUAGUCUUCAUUUACAUUUUUUUGGAAAUCGACCCGCGAUGACGAGGUAUAUCGUUUUCCCUAUCUGACAGCGUGAGGUUUAAGCAAAAGUUCAUUUCUAAUUUUGUCUUGUGGCAUAUUAGAAAUGAUGUUUCUUCGAAAAUCGUUCGCUUACAACGGAUAAAACGACUUCCUGAGUGGU